rnacentral:rRNA from 1 species
GUGAGGAAUAUUGCGCAAUGGAGGCAACUCUGACGCAGCCAUGCCGCGUGCAGGAAGAAGGCGCUACGCGUUGUAAACUGCUUUUAACCGGGAAGAAACCCCAGGACGUGUCCUGGGUUGACGGUACCGGAGGAAUAAGCACCGGCUAACUUCGUGCCAGCAGCCGCGGUAAUACGAAGGGUGCAAGCGUUAUCCGGAUUCAUUGGGUUUAAAGGGUGCGUAGGCGGAGUGUUAAGUCAGUGGUGAAAUCCUGGAGCUUAGCUGUAGACUUGCCAUUGAUACUGGAGCUCUUGAGUGCGCUUGAAGGGGGCGGAAUGUGCCGUGUAGCGGUGAAAUGCUUAGAUAUGGCACAGAACACCAAUUGCGAAGGCAGCUCACUAAGGCGAUACUGACGCUGAGGCACGAAAGCGUGGGGAUCGAACAGGAUUAGAUACCCGGGUAGUCC